GCACUCUUAACUCAGUUGGUAGAGCAACUGACUCUUAAUCAGUGGGUCCAGGGUUCGAAUCCCUGAGGGUGUA
rnacentral:tRNA from 1 species